AACGAACGCUGGCGGCAUGCCUAACACAUGCUAGUCGAACGAGACCUUCGGGUCUAGUGGCGCACGGGUGCGUAACGCGUGGGAACCUGCCCUUAGGUUCGGAAUAACUCCCCGAAAGGGGUGCUAAUACCGGAUAAUGUCUUCGGACCAAAGAUUUAUCGCCUUUGGAUGGGCCCGCGUUGGAUUAGCUAGUUGGUAGGGUAAAAGCCUACCAAGGCGACGAUCCAUAGCUGGUCUGAGAGGAUGAUCAGCCACACUGGGACUGAGACACGGCCCAGACUCCUACGGGAGGCAGCAGUGGGGAAUAUUGGACAAUGGGCGAAAGCCUGAUCCAGCAAUGCCGCGUGAGUGAUGAAGGCCUUAGGGUUGUAAAGCUCUUUUACCCGGGAUGAUAAUGACAGUACCGGGAGAAUAAGCGCCGGCUAACUCCGUG
rnacentral:rRNA from 1 species